GAAGCGAAAGCGAUAAGCAUUCCACCUGGGGAGUACGCCGGCAACGGUGAAACUCAAAGGAAUUGACGGGGGCCCGCACAAGCGGAGGAACAUGUGGUUUAAUUCGAUGAUACGCGAGGAACCUUACCCGGGCUCAAGCGGGAGAUGACAGAGGGAGAGACCCCUCGUUCUACGGACAUCUUCCGAGGUGCUGCAUGGUUGUCGUCAGCUCGUGCCGUGAGGUGUCGGCUUAAGUGCCAUAACGAGCGCAACCCCUGCCGACAGUUGCUAACGGAUAAAGCCGAGGACUCUGUCGGGACUGCCGGCGCAAGCCGCGAGGAAGGCGGGGAUGACGUCAAAUCAGCACGGCCCUUACGUCCGGGGCGACACACGUGUUACAAUGGGUGGCACAGAGGGAAGCCAGGCGGCGACGCCGAGCGGAACCCGAAAUCCACUCUCAGUUCGGAUCGGAGUCUGCAACCCGACUCCGUGAAGCUGGAUUCGCUAGUAAUCGCGCAUCAGCCAUGGCGCGGUGAAUACGUUCCCGGGCCUUGUACUCACCGCCCGUC
rnacentral:rRNA from 1 species